rnacentral:lncRNA from 1 species
CCGGAUGCUCGAACUUCUGCACGUUUAAACCUAUAAGCCUCUGCCAAAACUUAUUUAAAAGAAUAGUUUUACAAUAGAAACUCCGUCCUGAUCAUUUGAACUGUGGGAUUUAUGCACUGCAAGGAAUAUCUGAUGUUUCAACAUCACACAUUUCUCCAUCAUAUGAAAGUGGAACCAAUAUUACAGUAUGAAACCCACAACCAUUACAAGAUUCAUGGGGUGAUGAAGACUCUUGGAACUUCCCCCUUUCUUCUAAUUGCUUGGCAUCAAUAUCAUUUAGUUGUGGUUCAUGCUGCCUUUUCAAUUCUCCAAUUCUUUUAUCAUAUUCAUUAUUGAAAACCUUGAGCUUUUCUGUUCUCAUCAUUGCAUGAAUAAGUUAGAUAAGCGGCCAACUCUACUCUGCGCCUUAUCUGUUGUCAACUUCCCCCUUUCUUCUAAUUGCUUGGCAUCAAUAUCAUUUAGUUGUGGUUCAUGCUGCCUUUUCAAUUCUCCAAUUCUUUUAUCAUAUUCAUUAUUGAAAACCUUGAGCUUUUCUGUUCUCAUCAUUGCAUGAAUAAGUUAGAUAAGCGGCCAACUCUACUCUGCGCCUUAUCUGUUGUCAACUUCUUCGCUUCCUCCUGUUGGAACUGAGGAAACAAAUCUGGAAAUUUGAU